rnacentral:rRNA from 1 species
UACAGAGGUCCCAAGCGUUGUUCGGAUUCACUGGGCGUAAAGGGCUCGUAGGUGGCCAACUAAGUCAGACGUGAAAUCCCUCAGCUUAACUGGGGAACUGCGUCUGAUACUGGAUGGCUUGAGUUUGGGAGAGGGAUGCGGAAUUCCAGGUGUAGCGGUGAAAUGCGUAGAUAUCUGGAGGAACACCGGUGGCGAAGGCGGCAUCCUGGACCAACACUGACACUGAUGAGCGAAAGCCAGGGGAGCAAACGGG